rnacentral:tRNA from 2 species
GCGGGUGUGGUGGAAUUGGUAGACGCGACGGACUCAAAAUCCGUUUCUGGUAACAGAGUGUCGGUUCGACUCCGACCACCCGCACCA